rnacentral:rRNA from 1 species
UACGGGGGGAGCAAGCGUUGUUCGGAUUUACUGGGCGUAAAGGGCGCGUAGGCGGCCAGUGCAAGUCAGUUGUGAAAUCUCCGAGCUUAACUCGGAAAGGUCAACUGAUACUGCUCGGCUAGAGUGCGGAAGGGGCAACUGGAAUUCUUGGUGUAGCGGUGAAAUGCGUAGAUAUCAAGAGGAACACCUGCGGCGAAGGCGGGUUGCUGGGCCGACACUGACGCUGAUGCGCGAAAGCGUGGGGAGCGAACAGG